GAUGAACGCUAGCGGCAGGCUUAAUACAUGCAAGUCGAGGGGUAGCAAGAUUGUAGCAAUACAAUUGUUGACGACCGGCAAACGGGUGCGGAACACGUACACAACCUUCCUACAAGUGGGGAAUAGCCCAGAGAAAUUUGGAUUAAUACCCCGUAACAUAGCGAUGUGGCAUCACAUUGCUAUUAUAGCUUCGGCGCUUGUUGAUGGGUGUGCGGCUGAUUAGAUAGUUGGCGGGGUAACGGCCCACCAAGUCUACGAUCAGUAGCUGAUGUGAGAGCAUGAUCAGCCACACGGGCACUGAGACACGGGCCCGACUCCUAGGGGAGGCAGCAGUAAGGAAUAUUGGACAAUGGACGGAAGUCUGAUCCAGCCAUGCCGCGUGAAGGAUUAAGGUCCUCUGGAUUGUAAACUUCUUUUAUAAGGGACGAAAAAAGGUCUUUCUAGAUCGUCUGACGGUACCUUAUGAAUAAGCACCGGCUAACUCCGUGCCAGCCGCCGCGGUAAGAC
rnacentral:rRNA from 1 species